AAUAGCAAGUCGAGCGAACAGACGAGGAGCUUGCUCCUCUGACGUUAGCGGCGGACGGGUGAGUAACACGUGGAUAACCUACCUAUAAGACUGGGAUAACUUCGGGAAACCGGAGCUAAUACCGGAUAACAUGUUGAACCGCAUGGUUCAACAGUGAAAGACGGUCUUGCUGUCACUUAUAGAUGGAUCCGCGCCGCAUUAGCUAGUUGGUAAGGUAACGGCUUACCAAGGCAACGAUGCGUAGCCGACCUGAGAGGGUGAUCGGCCACACUGGAACUGAGACACGGUCCAGACUCCUACGGGAGGCAGCAGUAGGGAAUCUUCCGCAAUGGGCGAAAGCCUGACGGAGCAACGCCGCGUGAGUGAAGAAGGUCUUCGGAUCGUAAAACUCUGUUAUUAGGGAAGAACAAAUGUGUAAGUAACUAUGCACGUCUUGACGGUACCUAAUCAGAAAGCCACGGCUAACUACGUGCCAGCAGCCGCGGUAAUACGUAGGUGGCAAGCGUUAUCCGGAAUUAUUGGGCGUAAAGCGCGCGUAGGCGGUUUUUUAAGUCUGAUGUGAAAGCCCACGGCUCAACCGUGGAGGGUCAUUGGAAACUGGAAAACUUGAGUGCAGAAGAGGAAAGUGGAAUUCCAUGUGUAGCGGUGAAAUGCGCAGAGAUAUGGAGGAACACCAGUGGCGAAGGCGACUUUCUGGUCUGUAACUGACGCUGAUGUGCGAAAGCGUGGGGAUCAAACAGGAUUAGAUACCCUGGUAGUCCACGCCGUAAACGAUGAGUGCUAAGUGUUAGGGGGUUUCCGCCCCUUAGUGCUGCAGCUAACGCAUUAAGCACUCCGCCUGGGGAGUACGACCGCAAGGUUGAAACUCAAAGGAAUUGACGGGGACCCGCACAAGCGGUGGAA
rnacentral:rRNA from 1 species